AUGGCAUCCGGCUACAACAGCGUCAACGGCGAGAGCUCCUCCAACAAGAGAGGCGAAAGAGCCGGCCAGGGCUCCUGCAACAAGAGACGCGAAAUGGACGACAGCGACUGGAUGGAAGACGAUGGCGAGGAUUGCAUCUAUGAAUACGACGACGAUGAUGACAGCGGCAGCGUCUACGACGAUGAUGAAUACAUGAGCGACGCGGAGGAAACAAGGGUCCACGUCGCCCCAGUGACGUACGUCGUCCUAACCGAGGACGACGUCCUCAAACGGCAGGCGGAUGACACGGCCGGCAUCUCCGAGGUCCUCUCGAUCCCGCCCGCCUUCGCGGCCUUCCUCCUCCGGCGAUACAAGUGGAUGCCCUCUAACCUCCAGGACGACUGGUUCUCGGACGACCGCCGCGUCCGCGACGCCGCCGGCCUGCCGGCGGACGGCAGCGCCCCCGUCGCCACGGCGCUCAGCCCCAGGCCGCUCAUCUGCGCCAUCUGCUUCGACCGGUACCCCGCAGGUGCGACGAGAUCGGCGUCGUGCUCCUCCCACUUCUACUGCGAUGGCUGCUGGCGCGGGUACGUCGGUGCCGCCGUGGGCGACGGCCCCCGGUGCCUCUCGCUGCGGUGCCCGGACCCGGCCUGCUCCGCCGCCGUCGUCGGUGGCCUCGUCGACGCCGUGGCCGGGGCCGCCGACAGGGAGCGGUACGUGCGGUUCGCGCUUCGGUCGUACGUGGAGGAGAGCGGUGGCCGGAUCAAGUGGUGCCCCGGCGCCGGCUGUUCCCAUGCCGUCGAGUUCGUCGGCUGCGCCGGCUACGAUGCCACGGACGUGUUCUGCAAGUGCAGGCACGGCUUCUGCUGGAGCUGCGGCGAGGAGGCCCACCGGCCGGUGUCGUGUGGCACGGUGCGCGCGUGGCUGGCGAAGAACAAGUCCGACUCGGAGACGGCGAACUGGGUGCUGGCCAACACUAAGGUCUGCCCAAAGUGUCGGUGCGCGAUCGAGAAGAACAAUGGCUGCAACCACAUGAGCUGCCCCUGCGGCCACCACUUCUGCUGGCUCUGCUUCAAGCCGGCGGGGACGCAGGAGCACUACGCCUGCCAGGGCGACAUCUACCGGCCGAGGAGGGACACCACCAGCAGCAAGGCUGCCGGCGGCAGCAAGGCCGCCGUGGAGACCAAGGAGGAGGCGACAGCGCGGCAGGCCAGGGCGUCGCUGGACAGGUACCUGUUCCACUACGAGCGGUGGGCGGGCAACCUCAAGUCGCUGGAGAAGGCGCAUCAGGACAUGGACAAGCUGGAGAGGUCGGAGCUCGAGGAGAUGGCCGCGGCGGCCGGCGUCAAGGCGGUGACAGAGCUUGAGUUCGUGAUGGAGGCGUACAAGGAGAUCGUCUAUGGCCGGCGGGUGCUGCGGUGGGCGCACGCAUACGGCUACUACCUGGACCCGGAGCGCGACGGCAAGAAGCGCGAGCUGUUCGACUACCUGCAGGCCGAGGCCAACGCGUCACUGGAGCAACUGCACAAGUGCGCCGAGGUGGACAGGAAGAAGAUCUUCCCCUCCCAUGGCGAGGGCGAGGCCGCCGAUGUCUCGAUGGUGAAGAAGGUGUUCAAAGAUUACAGGGAUAAGAUGGUGAACUUGACCGUAGCGUCGCGGACCUUCAUGGGGAACCUUGUCAAGGCAUUUGAGACCAAUCUGCCCGAGGUCGGCAAAAUGAACUGGUGA
rnacentral:rRNA from 1 species